rnacentral:rRNA from 1 species
UACGAAGGGUGCAAGCGUUACUCGGAAUUACUGGGCGUAAAGCGCGCGUAGGUGGUUUGUUAAGUUGGAUGUGAAAUCCCCGGGCUCAACCUGGGAACUGCAGUGGAAACUGGACAACUAGAGUGUGGUAGAGGGUAGCGGAAUUCCCGGUGUAGCAGUGAAAUGCGUAGAGAUCGGGAGGAACAUCCAUGGCGAAGGCAGCUACCUGGACCAACACUGACACUGAGGCACGAAAGCGUGGGGAGCAAACAGG